GAAGAUCAAAGGACCUGGACAUUCUCUCUCAACACUCAAGAAAUUCUUGGAAUCCCAAUAAUCCUAACAAGGUUUCUGGAUUCUAGAAAUGGAAGGACUCAAGAAGAAGGCUCUUGGAAUCCCAAUAACCCUAACACGGUUUCCGGAUUCUAGGAGUUCUGCCACGCGUCAUUGGAGUAAUCGUCCACCUGUCAUUCUCCCUUCUUCAAUCAAUCAAUCAAUUUUGUGCUCUUCGUGGAUUUCUCUCCUCCUCAACCAACACAAAAUCC
rnacentral:lncRNA from 1 species